UACGGGGGGAGCAAGCGUUGUUCGGAUUUAUUGGGCGUAAAGAGCUUGUAGGCGGUCUGUCGCGUCUGCUGUGAAAAUCCGGGGCUCAACCCCGGACUUGCAGUGGGUACGGGCAGACUAGAGUGUGGUAGGGGAGACUGGAAUUCCUGGUGUAGCGGUGAAAUGCGCAGAUAUCAGGAGGAACACCAAUUGCGAAGGCAGCUCGCUGGGACGUUACUGACGCUGAGACGCGAAAGCGUGGGGAGCAAACAGG
rnacentral:rRNA from 1 species